GUAUAUAUGAAGGGGAGUUUAUUAAAGAGUAUUGACUUACAAAAUUACAAGGUGAAGUCCCACAAUAGGUCUGCAAGCCAGGAAGCCAGUCCAAGUCCCAACACCUCAAAAGGAGGGAAGCCAAUAUUGUAGCCUUCAGUCUGUGGCCGAAGGCCCCAGAGCCCAUGGCAAAUCACUGAUAUAAGUCCAAGAGUCCAAAAGUUGAAGAACUUGGAGUCUGUUAUUCCAGGGCAGGAAGCCUCCAGCAUGGGAGAAAGAUGGAGGCCAGAAGACUCAGCAGGUCUGUUCUCUCCAUGCCUCCUUUCACACUGGCAGCUGAUUAGACAGGGCCCACCCAGGCUGAGGGUGGGUCUGCCUCUCCCAGUCCACUGACUCAAAUGUUAAUCUCCUUUGGAAACACCCUCACAAACACAUCCAGGAACAAUACUUUGCAUCCUUCAAUCCAAUCAAGUUGGCACUCAAUAUUAACCAUCACAACUUUGUCAACUUGAACCCAUCCACAUCUCCUGAAAUCACACAUAAUCUUCAACUGAAGCCAAUAAUAAGGUCAUAAUUACAUCUAACACAAUACAGCUAUCCUUUGUACAACUGGAAGUGCACCAAUCCCCAAUCCAAAUGCUAUUACCUAAAGUUAACAACACUUAAAUGCUGAUAUGAAGUCAACAAAUCUUACAUCACAUGAUAAAGGAAAAAUAAAGGAAAUAAAAUGAAUAUAUUUUCUUAGUACAAGUAUAUAUAUGUGCAAACAUGUUCUCAACAAAAUAAAGAGGAAAUACUCAUGACAAUUACAGUCCUCAUUUCUGCAACUGGUCACAUGGCUGAAGCUGCUAUUGAUGACUACCUUAUUCCACUACCCCCAUUCCUUAUUCUCUUUGCCUUCAGCAAGCACCUCAGCAGGUUGUGGCUUUGUACCUGCUGGAGUGACCCAAACCUUCAUUCCUGAAGUAUCUGGGCCAUUUGUAGUCCUGCCAGGAUUGUGCCGUUGUAGUUUCCCAUUGACAUUAAUCACAGGGCAUGGCAAUACUAAGAGACACCCUAAGGGUUCUCCUGUGUUCCAUGCCUACUCUUCCUUACCUCCAUUGUGGAGUAGUAGACUGAUUUCGUCUUCAUAGUCCAGGUCAAUCACCCUGGCCAAUACUGUAACUCCCUUCUUAGCCUGUUGCAUUAGUCUGCUGUUAUGCUGCUAAUAAAGACAUACCUGAGACUGGGUAAGUCAUAAAGGAAAGAGGUUUAAUGGACUCACAGUUCCACAUGGUUGUGGAGGCUUCACAAUCAUGGUGGAAAGCAAAGGAGAAGCAAAGUCAUGUCUUACAUGGUGGCAGGCAAGAGUGCUUGUGCAGGGGAACUCCCAUUUAUAAAACCAUCAGAUCUUGUGAGACUUAUUCACUACCAUGAGAACAGUAUGGGAGAAACCACCCUCAUGAUUCAAUUAUCUCCACCUGGCCCUGCCCUUGACAUGUGGGGAUUAUUACAAUUCAAGGUGAGAUUUGGGUUAAGAGACAGCUAAACCAUAUCAUAGCUAAACCAUAUCAUAGACUAUAUGGUUAUAUUUAGUUCUUUACACCUAUAUUUCUUGGUGUGACUAAGCUAGAAGUUGCAAGAGUUUUAUCAAAGGAUAUAUCAGUCAUUCUUCAUGUAAAUAUCAAAAUAAUUUAGACUGCAAGUCCCCACCCUCCCCAGUCACACUUGCUUCUAGUGCUGAUGACCCACUUUAUAACUUUUAAAUGGGCUAGAAAAUCACUGUAAGGUGGGCUAAUUUAGUAUUCACUUUGAGAUCUUUGUGAAACCACAUCCAGAAACACGUUGAUGACUUUCAUUAUGACUUCUAAUUAUUAGGUGAGGAUUUUGUUGCUUUGACUUCAAGUAGUUUGUUAUGGCUGGAUCACAGCAUAAGAGUGAUCAAACUAUGCAGCACAGCAGCAAUCACGGUUGAAAAGGUAGAGAGGGGCUUCUUCGUGAAAACUCACUUAAAAGAGCUCACAUGGUAUCAUAAGGCAUUGGGAGCCCUUGAACGGUUGUGAACAGAGAAACUGAUAACGUCUUUGAGAAAUGUAAAUGCAGGGGAAAUACAGUAGAUGGACUAUAAGAACAUCAAUCUGAAUCACCAGACUUUGGGUCUGGACUAAGGGACAUAGAGAAUAAUGAGUAGGUAAUUCAUUGAUGGGUUACCAAGGUGCAGAUGACCUGCUUAAAUGUUUAGGAUUUGUCUUAAUUUUAUUGAUUGGGUGAUUCCAUAAUGUUGAUUCUGUUAACCAAAAUAGAGGCUCUUAGAGGUAAAGGAAAUUUUUGUUGGGGGUGGUGGGAGAAGUUAGGGAGGAUGACGAAUGGAGUUUCGGAAACACUGAGGUUAAAGUGCCUAUGGAGAAAACCAAAAGCUGGAUAUAUUAAUUUAGAGCUGAGAAAACUGUAAAUAUAAAGCACAUUAAUACCGUGUUGACAAAAUGUAAGCCAUAC
rnacentral:lncRNA from 1 species